ensembl:lncRNA
GCCAAAAUAAACCUCUCCUAUUUAAGUUCUGUAUAUCAGAGGCUUACACCUAGGAUUUUGUCUUGAGUCUCAGAGAAAACUUUGGACUUGGACUUUUUAGCAAUGGUAGAAAUGUUAACUUUGCCAUUGUGCAUAACAAGAGACAUUUGGGCUUAGAUCUGUACUCAUGGUGAAUUGGACCCUUCAUAGGCAACAGAAGAUGCUUAUAUAUAACAUCAAAGUUUAAAGGAGCAGCCUACCCAGAGCAUCACUGUUUGGUGGGGACAAGACAGAAAAUGAGAGGGGCCAAGGAAUGAGAAAGUAUAAGAAGACUCUCUGAUGCAGUGAAAAAAGGCAUUAUUUAAGAUGGUGUUUCCCUUGUAUAGGGGACCCUAGAAGAUGUUAUAUACCAAGAAAACUCACUACACUGCCAGCCUUUAGAGAAGAAAUUGAAAAUACAUAUUCAGCAAUCUCAAUGACCAAAGUUACCCAAGCAGCAGUUGGUUAUACUAAUAAAUGUCUGGAAGAUAAUGGCCAUCACUUUGAGCACCUCUUGUAAUUGUAGAGGCCAAACAUAACUUGUAUCUCAUAAUACCUCAAUAAAUUUAGUAUUAAAAUAUUUAUAUGUUUUUAUUUUCCUUAAAUGUGUAUACAUGUUUUUGGCAGACUCUGUACAUAUAUAGAACCCUCCUGCCUUAAGAACUUCCUUGUUCCUGUCUGCCACACUAUGAACUGUUUCUCCUCUGCUAUGUCCAUCUGGCACAUUCCCCUGCCUUGGAG